rnacentral:rRNA from 1 species
AACGAACGCUGGCGGCAGGCCUAACACAUGCAAGUCGAACGCUGUAGCAAUACAGAGUGGCAGACGGGUGAGUAACGCGUGGGAACCUUCCCAGUGGUACGGAAUAGCUCAGGGAAACUUGAGGUAAUACCGUAUAAGCCCCUAGGGGGAAAGAUUUAUCGCCAUUGGAUGGGCCCGCGUCGGAUUAGCUAGUUAGUGAGGUAAUGGCUCACCAAGGCGACGAUCCGUAGCUGGUUUGAGAGAGUGACCAGCCACACUGGGACUGAGACACGGCCCAGACUCCUACGGGAGGCAGCAGUGGGGAAUAUUGGACAAUGGGCGCAAGCCUGAUCCAGCCAUGCCGCGUGAGUGACGAAGGCCUUAGGGUUGUAAAGCUCUUUUAGCAGGGACGAUAAUGACGGUACCUGCAGAAUAAGCUCCGGCUAACUUCGUGCCAGCCGCCGCGGUAA